CUGCCAUUGUCAGCGUUCGACUGAUAGAGCAAGCGGGAGCUGUGUUUGAGGUCUGGCAACAAUCGCACCCCAACAGCUGAAAGCAUGGCGCAUGGCUGAGAAGCAAGAUAAUUUGCGCCGGAAUUUGUCCGCUGCUCUUUGUUUCCUAGUGAUUCACUGGUAACUGAGGUUGCUGUUGUUAAUCGCGGUUAUGAUGGGUGAUUUUGUCCUUGUGCGUAUUUUGACCGAGCCUGUUUGACUUCUGAGGCCAGAGAAGGUACGGCCGAUGUGCAGCUUUGUUUACCUUCAAGACCGAGUGGAGCUGAAAGUUUGCUCAAACCAACCAAAGGACAGAAAAUAUGGGAUGUGGGCCUUUGAAGGACCAGCUGAUGAAAAAAUGAACGUCUGCGCUGCACGAAACAUUCUUCAGCUGUCCUACCGCUUGUGCAGCAAGAUCGACAUACAGAGAUCUAACACUUUGACAACGAACCCUAUAGAGAGCUGGAAUGUUCGCAAUAAAGAUGUGCGAGAUAUAUAUUCUGCCACUUGCUAGCAAUGUCUGUAUUAGGAGCUGUCACUAUA